UACAGAGGGUGCAAGCGUUGUUCGGAAUUACUGGGCGUAAAGCGCACGUAGGCGGAUUGUUAAGUCAGAGGUGAAAUCCCGGAGCUCAACUUCGGAACUGCCUUUGAUACUGGCAAUCUAGAGUCCGGAAGAGGUUAGUGGAAUUCCCAGUGUAGAGGUGAAAUUCGUAGAUAUUGAGAAGAACACCAGUGGCGAAGGCGGCUAACUGGUCCGGUACUGACGCUGAGGUGCGAAAGCGUGGGGAGCAAACAGG
rnacentral:rRNA from 1 species